GAUGAAGAACGUAGCAAAAUGCGAUACUUGGUGUGAAUUGCAGAAUCCCGUGAACCAUCGAGUUUUUGAACGCAAGUUGCGCCCGAAGCCUUUUGGCCGAGGGCACGUCUGCCUGGGCGUCACGCAUCGCGUCGCCCCCCACAAAUUCUCCGUCAGGGGAGCUUGUGUUUCGGGGGCGGAUACUGGUCUCCCGUGCUCAUGGCGCGGUUGGCCGAAAUAGGAGUCCCUUCGAUGGACGCACGAACUAGUGGUGUUCGUAAAAACCCUCGUCUUUUGUUUCGUGCCGUUAGUCGCGAGGGAAGCUCUUCAAAAACCCCAACGCGUCGUCCCUUACGGCGCUUCGACCGCGACCCCAGGUCAGGCGGGACUACCCGCUGAGUUUAAGCAUAUCAAUAAGCGGAGGA
rnacentral:misc_RNA from 1 species